rnacentral:rRNA from 1 species
UACGAAGGGGGCUAGCGUUGUUCGGAUUUACUGGGCGUAAAGCGCGUGUAGGCGGAUCGUUAAGUCGGGGGUGAAAGCCCAGAGCUCAACUCUGGAAUUGCCUUCGAUACUGGCGGUCUGGAGCAGAGAAGAGGCGAGUGGAAAUCCGAGUGUAGCGGUGAAAUUCGUAGAUAUUCGGAGGAACACCAGUGGCGAAGGCGGCUCGCUGGUCUCUUGCUGACGCUGAGACGCGAAAGCGUGGGGAGCAGACAGG